UAAGUUAAAGUAUCACAAGAAAACCAUAUUUAAAUGUCACAAACAUCAUGUUUAAAGAUGAAUGGUCUGUUUUACUCUUGAACAUGAAGUGGUGAUGCAUUCAAAAUUGACUUACAUAUAUGCUAACAUCAAACAAUGACCCUCCUCAAAAAUUUUCCUCUAAAGCUAAAUAUAUCCUACUUGCAAAUCCUGCAUACAUUAAAACAUUAAGAUGCUUGAAAUAGAAUGAAUCUCAUCUACUUUAGAGAUGACAUAAAGGUAAUUACAAGGAUCACAGUAGCAAAAGAAGGUAAGCAUAUAACAUCAAUCAUACAUACAGAAACUAUGAAAAUGCCUCAUCUACUUUAGAGAUGACAUAAAGGUAAUUACAAGGAUCACAGUAGCAAAAGAAGGUAAGCAUAUAACAUCAAUCAUACAUACAGAAACUAUGAAAAUGCCUGAUAUCUAGAAAAUAUAUACAAGAAACUAGCCAAGUUUUGAUAAGAUUAACGUUUUCCACAAACAAUUAU
rnacentral:lncRNA from 1 species